rnacentral:rRNA from 1 species
UACGUAGGGUGCGAGCGUUGUCCGGAAUUAUUGGGCGUAAAGAGCUCGUAGGUGGUUUGUCGCGUUGUUCGUGAAAUCUCACGGCUUAACUGUGAGCGUGCGGGCGAUACGGGCAGACUAGAGUACUGCAGGGGAGACUGGAAUUCCUGGUGUAGCGGUGGAAUGCGCAGAUAUCGGGAGGAACACCAAUGCGAAGGCAGCUCGCUGGGACGGUACUGACGACUGAGACG